rnacentral:rRNA from 1 species
CAGUCGCCGCGGUAAUACGUAGGUGGCAAGCGUUGUCCGGAGUUAUUGGGCAUAAAGGGCUCGCAGGCGGUUUCUUAAGUCUGAUGUGAAAGCCCCCGGCUCAACCGGGGAGGGUCAUUGGAAACUGGAAACUUGAGUGCAGAAGAGGAGAGUGGAAUUCCACGUGUAGCGGUGAAAUGCGUAGAGAUGUGGAGGAACACCAGUGGCGAAGGCGACUCCCUGGCCUGUAACUGACGCUGAGGAGCGAAAGCGUGGGGAGCGAACAGGAUUAGAUACCCCUGUAGUCCCUGUCUCUUAUACA